AACGAACGCUGGCGGCAUGCCUAACACAUGCAAGUCGAACGAGACCUUCGGGUCUAGUGGCGCACGGGUGCGUAACGCGUGGGAACCUGCCCUUAGGUUCGGAAUAACUCCCCGAAAGGGGUGCUAAUACCGGAUAAUGUCUUCGGACCAAAGAUUUAUCGCCUUUGGAUGGGCCCGCGUUGGAUUAGCUAGUUGGUAGGGUAAAAGCCUACCAAGGCGACGAUCCAUAGCUGGUCUGAGAGGAUGAUCAGCCACACUGGGACUGAGACACGGCCCAGACUCCUCCGGGAGGCCGCAGUGGGGAAUAUUGGACAAUGGGCGAAACCCGGAUCCAGCAAUGCCGCGGGAGUGAUGAAGGCCUUAGGGUUGUAAAGCUCUUUUACCCGGGAUGAUAAUGCCCGUCCCGGGAGAAUAAGCCCCGGCUAACUCCUU
rnacentral:rRNA from 1 species